GUAGGGUGCAAGCGUUAAUCGGAAUUACUGGGCGUAAAGCGUGCGCAGGCAGUUAUGCAAGACAGAUGUGAAAUCCCCGGGCUCAACCUGGGAACUGCAUUUGUGACUGCAUGGCUAGAGUGCGGCAGAGGGGGAUGGAAUUCCGCGUGUAGCAGUGAAAUGCGUAGAUAUGCGGAGGAACACCGAUGGCGAAGGCAAUCCCCUGGGCCUGCACUGACGCUCAUGCACGAAAGCGUGGGGAGCAAACAGGAUUAGAUACCCUGGUAGUCCACGCCCUAAACGAUGUCAACUGGUUGUUGGGAGGGUUUCUUCUCAGUAACGUAGCUAACGCGUGAAGUUGACCGCCUGGGGAGUACGGCCGCAAGGUUG
rnacentral:rRNA from 1 species